rnacentral:siRNA from 1 species
GGUGUCACCGAUCAGUUUGAUACC